rnacentral:rRNA from 1 species
CUGAAAGCAUCUAAGCAUGAAGCCCCCCUCAAGAUGAGAUUUCCCAACUUCGGUUAUAAGAUCCCUCAAAGAUGAUGAGGUUAAUAGGUUCGAGGUGGAAGCAUGGUGACAUGUGGAGCUGACGAAUACUAAUCGAUCGAAGACUUAAUCAA